GUGGGGAAUCUUGCGCAAUGGGCGAAAGCCUGACGCAGCCAUGCCGCGUGAAUGAUGAAGGUCUUAGGAUUGUAAAAUUCUUUCACCGGGGAAGAUAAUGACGGUACCCGGAGAAGAAGCCCCGGCUAACUUCGUGCCAGCAGCCGCGGUAAUACGAAGGGGGCUAGCGUUGCUCGGAAUUACUGGGCGUAAAGGGCGCGUAGGCGGACAGCUUAGUCAGAGGUGAAAGCCCAGGGCUCAACCUUGGAAUUGCCUUUGAUACUGGCUGUCUUGAGUUUGGGAGAGGUGAGUGGAACUCCGAGUGUAGAGGUGAAAUUCGUAGAUAUUCGGAAGAACACCAGUGGCGAAGGCGACUCACUGGCCCAAUACUGACGCUGAGGCGCGAAAGCGUGGGGAGCAAACAGGAUUAGAAACCCUGGUAGUCC
rnacentral:rRNA from 1 species